UGUAGGAUUUGAACCCACGGCAUCGGGUUUUGGAGACCCGCGUUCUACCGGACUGAACUGAAAGCGCUUUCUUA
rnacentral:tRNA from 1 species